rnacentral:lncRNA from 10 species
CCUUAUAAGUAUUUUUUAAAAUCUUCAUUUGCACCUGGAAAAUAGAGCUCAGAGAAGUUAUCAGAGAAGAUAUAAUUAACUCCCCAAGCAUGAAACAACUUAAGAAGUGGAAGAGGCAAGGUACAGGGCUAGAAUGAUUAACUCUAAAAUUCUUAUUCCUUACACAAUGAUUCUAAAUCAUUUCUAACCUAGAGAAACCUCAGGAGGCCCAAAGUUUCUAUCUGUUCGAAGAAGAAUCUGGAAAUGGCUCUGGAUGCCCCAUCCAUAUCAAUUUUGCAGACCCGUCUGGAGCUCUGUUGCAGUGGAAGAAGCUGCAUAGGAGAAAGGAUGAAUGAGAGGGCUGAACACAAGAACACAGAAGGGACUGAAGCCUCCACUUUUCCCCACCUCUGCCUAUUGCCACAGUAUCUGGAUUAAAACUCUAUGCAUUGA